rnacentral:rRNA from 1 species
UACAGAGGUCCCGAGCGUUGUUCGGAUUCAUUGGGCGUAAAGGGCGCGCAGGCGGCUACGCACGUCCGUUGUGAAAUCGCUCGGCUCAACUGGGCGGGGUCAGCGGAUACGGCGUAGCUGGAGCAAGCUAGGGGGCAAUGGAAUUCCCGGUGUAGUGGUGGAAUGCGUAGAUAUCGGGAGGAACACCAGUGGCGAAGGCGGUUGCCUGGAGCUUUGCUGACGCUGAGGCGCGAAAGCGUGGGGAGCGAUCCGG